ACUAACCUUAAAACUGUAUAAAAAAAUCCCUAAUAUUUUUUCUGUAAACCUCCACUUCUCAGCGAGGUAACGCCCCAUCUUCCCUCCAUGUUCUGUGUCACAGUCACAUCCGAUGGUCUCUCUCACAAUCGCUGCCGCUAGUUCUCUAACCGGCGCUGCCAUUGUUGUCGAUUCACUUAUUUCUGUAAGUUACUCUCUCUCACCACCAUUGUUCUCUCUCUCAAUUUCUAAUCCCUAACUUAUUUGAAAAUAAGAGUUCCCUGCUAUUAUCUGAAAAAAUUUCGUCAGUUCCCAAAGUUUCAAAGGAAACCUCUUCUAAUUAUUCUUUCAUUCUUUGAUCAUUAACAAUUUAAUAAGAAAGGGAAAGGAAACACGAUGGGUUAGAGAGAGAGAGUCUGCCUUCUCUCUAGAAACUACCUCAGUUUCUAGGGUUUGUUCAUUCAAUAUUUCAUUGAUGAUGGAUGAUUACUCAUCUAAUCUACACGACUUAGCUACGAUGGGUGAUGAACUAGUGAUUGAAGGUACUACUACACCUAAGUGGAGUUCGCACAUCUUUCGGAUAGUCUUUCGGAUAGUGAUUUGUUAAUUUUGAUGGACAUCGCGAAGAGAAAUGGGGGUAAGAAACAUUGUUCUGUAUUUGAUAUCGAGAUGGGUAGGAGCCCUAAGGCUUCGAUUGGGGUUGAGUCUGAGAUCCAUAGUCCAAGUUUUUUUGUUGACGCUAUGGGUGGUCUCUACUCUAAGGUUCGAGAGAUGAAUGUUAUUCAGCUCCACAUUAAAACAACAGUUGUUUGUAGGCCUUUUGAACUUUUGGAGCGAUUCCGGAUGUAUGAAUUUUCUGAAGGAACCCUGCAUCCAUUUGAAUGCACACAAAGUUAAUCGCAUCCUUAUCAAUUGCAUAGGUAACUAAUAAGCUAAUUACAAACUGUUUUCUAUUAUAUUAUUUUGUUUUAUGAAAAAUACCUUUCCUUUUUCUUUUUCUCCUCAGAAAAAGGCCAUCUAGUGGGACUCAAAAUGUGUCUUGAAUUUGUGAUGAAGAGUUCCAUGCUAGGUUCAUAUCUCAAUUUCCACGACCAACCCAAUUUCAAUUGAUUAUUUAUGUGAACACUUAUUACCUCUAUGAGAAUGGGUUGUUUAGGUGAGCAUUUGUAAGUUACAUUAACUAAUAUAUAAUUCUAGGAGUGACUAAUAUAAUACAAUUACCUGAGCAGUUAUUACAUAAGAGAAACAAUUAAGGUAAUGUUUGGUUCAUUUAAAUUUUUAGUUAUGUAAAUUAAAUAAGUAAAUCAAUCAUGUUGGUCCAACCCAAGAAUUGCAGGAUCCUAAACAUUGGAGACAAGAUAGGCCUUAAGUUCUAAGUGGGAAGAUAUAAUAUGGCAAAAGACAUCUCAACAUUGGGCCCAUAAUUGCUUUCUUUUGGAUCUGAUAUUCUCCAAUUGUGAUCUCUAGGAUUGAAUGCAUCAGUCUGAAUAUCGCUUGGGUAAUCAUGCUAUGCAAUUCUAUUAAUCCUAAUUCAUUUAGGAUCAUUUGUAAUAUCUGUUACAUAGUUCAACAUUCACCCUGUGUAAUUUUAGUAAUGAAUUGAGUUAUUGAUAAAAGAAAAAAAAUUACCAAGAAUGUCAUAGCGAAGCAUAACCCAAAACUUUGCCAAACUAUUUUAAGCAUUGAUGAUGUGUGGUUUUUAUCUUAUUAAUUGACAUCUUUCCCUGUAUAAAUGCAGUGAAGAAAUGGGUAGAUGGUAAAGCAGAGAAUUACCAAGAAUAUCGCAAUGAAACUGAACUUUUCAUUUUGAAUUUUACUGAUGAUAAUUUUGGAUCUUAAUGUUACUGAAUUUGAUUCAUUAGUGCCUGUGUCAGGCACAAAUGACAACUAAACAAAGGGAUCCAUGGUGCCAUAGUUCAAGACUCAUUUCGUAUAGCCUCUAGUCUAUAUCUGCUCUAGUUAUGGAAGAUAUGGGGGAGUAGCAUUCCUUUGUUCCAAAUGGUAGUAAUUUCAUUAGUACUACUAGAAAACAUGAAUUUAGAGUGUUUUAUUAAGCAAUGAAUCACCUUGGUUAAAAUUUAUGUUGGUGUACCUAAAAACUAAUUGUUGGAAUCUAUUUGGAUUGCCGUAUUGUCUUUUUUGGAGUCACUUGAGGAGCAUUUGGAGAUGACAUCAAGCAUAAUGGGGUUUCUUAAGAAGCAAGGUUUCAAAGGACAAUUUAGAGGAGGAGGUAUUCCAUGAACUCGUACAUCGCCUUUUGAUUGGUUUUUGAUGACAUUUGAAAGUAUACUUGCAAAGGAAGAUCAACUGUUGAAUUUUGUUUCCUGAACUGAUACUUAGUUGUAGUUGCAAAUCAAGAUUGAGUGUUGAUUUUU